CCCCCCUCAUCCAAAAGCCCCCUUCUCGUGGCGGCUCCUCCCCCUCGCUCGACCCGACCGAUCCGGUCGGCCUCGCCGGCCAUCACCGUCGACCCCUCUCUGGGCUACCUUCCCCGAGCCCACUGACCCUAGCACCCUACACCCGCAUGUGAGGCCUCUCCUCCUCCCCUCUCCCCUCGCCUCACUUCCUCCACCGAGCGCUCUGGCGAGAUCCCUUGUCAUCGGUCGCACCCUGGCUACCCCCACCACGCGGGCACACCACCCUGUCCCAUCCCUCGCCCGCGCCACUGCUCGCGCCCUUGCAUUGCGAUGGCCCCGCCCGGUCGUGCCCGCCGACCGCUGAGCCACCGCGGCUGCCCCACGCUUCAGCCAUCCCUCCGGCCAUCGUAUCGCGCUCGCGGCUGCGCCCGCUAACUCUGCCCCGUGGCCGCUCGCUGGUCGUCACUCCCGCGCCCUCGCUCAACCCGCGUAUUUUGCACCAGGACGCUCGCUGACGACCUCGGCCAUUCGCCCCGUCGCUGCCCCCUCCGAUCCCCACUCGCUGGCCUCGCCAGGAGCCACUGGCCGUGGCUCGGCUUGCCUCAGCCUCGAGCCUCCUCCUCCCUUAUUUUGGUCAAUGGGGUGAACUCCCCCCCCCCUCAUCCCAUUUGCCCGCUGGCUCAAUGAAUUAAGGGGGCCACCCCAUGCUAAAAACUUUUAAGAAAAAUAAUGAUGAAUUAAAUUAAUUAAUUAAGUAAGUAAGUAAGUAAGUAACUAAGUGAUUAAUUAGUAAGUUAAUUAGUUAACUUAAUUGAGACUAAUCUCUAUAAUUGAUUAGGAUAAUUAAUUUGGUUAAUUAACCCUAAUUUAUUUAAUUAACUCUAUUACUUAAUUUGAUGUGAAUGCCAUAUGGGGCCCGCCCUAUUUGUUGAACCUAAUUUUAAUAAAAUUAAAACUGAAUUAACUAUGGGUCUAUAAGAGUGGGACGCACUGGUUAGUUGACUAGUCAAGUGAGAUUGUUGACCGCUGAUGUCCGCAUGACAUCAUGCUAAUGUAAUAUAUAUUUGUUGAAUUAUAAUAAAUCUAUUUAAUUUCUAAAUAUUAAUAAAACUAUGAAAUUUAAUAAAAAAUAAUCUGGAAUCCGGAUGAAAAUAUUUUGUAUAUGAAAGUUGAUCAAAAAAACGAGACGAACCUGGAUACGUUAUCUGUUCGUGUGUCGCGCGUCCCUAGCAUAGCUAACAUGGAGCUUUUCCAUCCGUAUCGUCUGUCCAGUAGUAGCCAAAGACCACGGAAAUAUCGUGAGAUAUUUUCCUGCUUCGUGUGUAACGUUUAGUACUGCAUUAGUUCACCCCUAGCACGGUAAUUACCCUGUCAUGCUUUAUGAUGCAUUUGAUUGUUGUGUUAUUUAUUGUGUUUCCCCUACGUUGCUUCCUUUCUAGUAGACCCGAGACCGAGGAUGAUCCGGUGUUCGACUACUUCCCGGUCGAGGAUCCGUAUUUGUUUGCGGAGCAACUAGGCAAGCAACCCCCUUGAUCAUUCUUAUAUCACCUAUUAUUUCUCCCUCACGCUUGCAUUAGAUUUUGCUACUAUUGUAGAUAGCUCCUAUAUCUGAUGCCUAGCCUGUUUUUGAUGAACUGCUUCUUUCCUUUACGGUACUUUUAACAUGACAGUGUAAUAAUAUGAUGAAUAAUUUGGGUAGUAUGACUAAUUCGGGUAGUAUGGGUAUUUCGAGUUUUCUAGACUGAAACCCGAACCCGAACCCAAAAACCAAAUAGCUAAGAAAUGAGAACCGAACCCUAACCCAAUACCCUAAUUACCCGACAAUUCGAGUAAUUCGGUUCGGGUUCGGGUUUGGGUAACGGGUUAGGGUACCCAAAUGCCCAGGGUGAGGUGGAGCAGUCAUCCCCUUUGCCCCCCUUAGUCUAGUUGCCCCCGCUUUAUCGUCAAGUCUCAAUCAUCUGAUCGAUGAGCCAAGACCCGACACAUCACUUUACACCCCCUUGUUGUACGAUGUUGCAUGGCUACUAUCGAGUACCGAGGGUGACACUUCGAUACGUACUCAUGAUGUUAGCUUUGUAGUGUAAUUAACCGGCGGUGGUUCUCGAAGGGUGAUUCCUCCUUCACCACUUCCGGUAACGACUCUAUCGUACCACCCAUCAAGAAUGAUCUAGCAAGGGUGAUUCCUCCCUGGCCACCUUGAUGGUUACAUCAUUCGGAAUACAUCAAGGCUGAUACCUCGGAUUUUUCUGAUGUUGUAGCCACACAGUUACUUGACCUUGUUACUCGGAAUUUGAUGAAUGGUGUGUUGCGGGUGGAUUCCCGCGUGGAUGAGAUGAUGAGUUAAUUAAAAUGCUAAUGGAUUUGGGUAUUUGAUCUGAGUUGCUCGGGAGACCUUUUUUGCAGUAACCUUCACGUGGGAGAAUUUAUGUGUAUUCGACGUCGUGGUAUCAGCCGAAGCUCUUCACACGUCAGCAAUGAAAGGGUGCAUGCCUGAGUGGCCCGGAUAAGCAUGGUUCUUGUAUAAGAGGUACCAAGACUGACAUUAGCCGCCCUCGCAUGGUGCAGGAGCGCAACAGGUGAUGGGCCCAUGACCCCUGCGCGCUUAGGAUUUAGACCGGUGGGCUGGCCUCUCUAUUGAGCAUAGGUAAGGCUGCGACGUGUUGAUGUUCCGAGGCCGGGCAUGUCCGAGGAAACCGUGUCCGGCCAGAGUUUAUCGGGUACUAUGGUGCACCCCUGCAGGGAUGAAAAUUAAUUAUUCUAAUAGCCAUGUCCACGGUUACAGGGCGAUUUGGAGUUGUGCCCCGAUCUUAUACAACUACAACCUUUACUUAACUGGGAUGUUUACUCUGGGAUUGCUUCCUCGUAGGGAGUUGGGGAAUAAUCCCUAGGCAUGACCUUAAUUAAUAUUGCUGCAACAAUAUGACUAUAUAUUUGUGAUUCUUGCUCUACUCUCGUAUAUUGCUGCAAGACGCUGAAGAUGCUAGUCUUCGAUAGUACUAGUCCCCUCUCUCUAUUCUCGCAACGCUGUAGUCAGUCCACAUAAAACCCCCUUUCCUUUGAUACUGAUGCAUACUUAGCAUUUGUGAUGUUAGUCUUGCGACUACUUUGGAUGAGUACUCACCGUUGCUUUGCUCCCCACUUUCCCCUUGAUUCGAUUGCUGCGACCACAUGUUGGAGCCUAGGAGAUGGCAUUUCCCGCCGACGACGCCUGCUACCCCGAUGGUGCCUACUACUAUGUGGAGGCCGCUGAAGACCAGGAGUAGUUUAGGAGGUUCCCAGGCACAAGGCAUCGCCUCGUUUGAUCGUUGUAUCUUUUGUGCUAGCCUUCUCUAAGGCUUUAUCCUUUGUUUCAUGUUUGUACUCAAAUAUUUGUUGCUUCCGCUGACUCAUGUGUUUAUCGAACUUCUGUAUUCUAGCCCUUGAGGCCCCUGGCUUGUAAUAUGAAGCUUGUAUGAUUUUAUUUGUGUCUAGAGUUGUGUUGUGAUAUCUUCCCAUGAGUCCGUGAGCUUGGUCGUAUGCAAGCAUGUAUGAUUAGUGUACAAUCAAACCGAGAGCGUCACAGAAUGCCUAGAAGGCAUCCCCUCUUUCUUCUAACAACGAUCGACAAUUUUAC
rnacentral:lncRNA from 1 species